GAUGGGAUGAGGUAAUGCUGUAACUCGACGAAGCGGUGCAUUGUGGGAUUACGUAUUGUUUUUGAAUAUCUGGUUACCCGCUUAGCUGUUUGAGACUGUGGCAGUGACGGGCUACAAAGAAACCGAGUAAUGUACAAUAAUAAUAUGCACUGGAGGAAAUGCACAGAAUGUGGGCUGGAAGAAAUUAGGCUAAAUUGCUUUCAUAUCAGCUGCUAACCAUAUUGGAGUAGACAUGACUUUUACCCAGAACUCAAGGAAUCGCAACUGACAAACCAAAUUCUGCUUUUAAAUACACGCAUGUUCAUAACAAAAGCGUGAAAAGUAAAUAACAAAAAAAUCUUUGUUUUUUUUUUGCUUCACUUUAGUUUCAAUUUACUUUCCACCCAUGCUGUUUUAAUUUUCCAUAAACCCAAUCAACUUGAAUAUCAGUAUAUGCUAUUAUUGUAAUAUACCUGCAAAGACAAAACAAAUUUUGGUUGGUUUUAUGCAAAUGUGGAACCUGGAGUUUUUUGCAUUUCAAAUGUGCAUUAUAAGUGAACCACACUGCUUAAAGUAAACCAUCAUCAGAUGGUUUUAGUAAGGCUUGGUUAGAGAAAUUUAAGCUGGGUAUCUUUAAGAACCAUGUUUAACUUUACUAAGUCAUUUAACAGGUGUUUUUUAUCCAAAAUGACUUACUGUAAUUUAACACAGGGACAGCCCCGUUUGAACAAUCCGGGGUUAUGUGUCUUACUCAAGGACACUGCAGGGUUAGUUUGUGGAUUGUCCCAUACGAAACCUACAACCUUUCAGUUACAAACCAUUAGGAUCUGAAAGGUAAAAACUGUGUGGUACUACACACAUCCUCAUGUUGAUGUUUUCUGUCUCAUAUGCCAAAGGGGAAUUUGUUGUGCCAUCAGCAAUGGUCAUUAUAGAAACUAAACUAUUUUACGGAGGUAUAAUUUUUCACAAUAAAUGAUGAGAUUAUUCUUCUUAUAUUGCUUAUAAAUGCUAGUCUUUUCACAGAUGAUUAUUGCCACUUGAGUGUUUUGAUAAGACAACCAUCCAACAUCCAUAACACACACACACACUUGUGGCCAUUUAACGAAUCAUCUGACUCACUUAUUGCUGUGUGUCCACUUAUGUAAUUGAUUUUGGUUUAGAUGGUUGGUACAAAAGACCACCAUCAUAUCUUACUCUGACACUAAGUAUUCAAUGAUUACAGCUAAUCAUGCCUCUCUUCUGUCUAAUGUGUACGGCCCUGGUUUGCCUUCGAUCUGGUCAAGUACUGAUGAAUAAAUAAUGACAUAAUUAGCCCAAAUGG